GCCGGAGUGGUGGAAUGGCAGACGCGGUGGACUCAAAAUCCACUGGGCUUCGGCCCGUGCGGGUUCGAAUCCCGCCUCCGGCACCA
rnacentral:tRNA from 3 species